GCGGAAACAUUUGACGAUUCCAAGGAAGUUGUCUGGAGUUGCCAACCGGUCCAUUGGACGUAUGCAUUUUGGAAAGCUCCACCCUGUACGCUCAACAUGUGGGAAUGAGGUGAACGAUGAUGAACGACAACUGUGCAUGGCUGAUCCAAAAAAGUUUUCAGACAUCACCAAACACAGGACUGAGAAUCCUGGAUGUUGUUUUUGAGAGGAGGGAUUCCGGAACUGUUUUCCAAGGAUCCAAUCAAGUAUUGUGCUCCAGCUGGAAGAUAUCCGCGGGAGGAGUGAUGCCGUUCUUCUUGGCAGCAGCUCGGAUAACGGCCUCAGCCUCCUGAAACCGACCCUGAGUGAUCAGCCAGCGAGGAGACUCUGGUAUGAACCUGAGAGAGGAAUGUAAAGAAAUCCCACCAUAGACAACACUAACAGCAGUGUCCUCCAGCUCCGGAUAAAGUAGGCGAAGAGUGGCAGAAUGGCAUAGCCAGCGGCAAAACAGGAACAGACUCCCAGAAUCCCAAAGCUCACGCGGGCUGACUUACUGAGGAGCUCUGCCCCUAACGAUGUCUUUGUAAACGUCAUGCACAGGCAUUCUCAGCGGAACCUGAUAUGAAAAGAACAAUGAUCAUUCAACUCACCAAGAACAAAGGCUGCACAGUAAUUGGAGACGUAUGCCAUCCCAGCCACAAAGUAAAGAACACAGAACAUUUCGUAGCUGUUGGAGGCAGACUGGAGCAAACUAAAGAGAGUCUGCAAUACCAUAGUGACAAGGAAGGUGUGCUUCCGACCAUACCUGAGGAGGAAGUAUAAUCUUAAGGACAAAGACACUAUAGGCUCUACAAACCUUGAUGCUAUAAGAGCUUUUGCCAAGACCUACAUUUAUUGGACAGACCAUAGAUUCAUGCAAAUUAAGGUUAAACACUAACUAGUACUGUAUUUAUGCUAUUCAUUAUUGUAGUAUAAUUCAUGACCAUGUACUGUAAAUUUACAUUUUAUCAUACUUUAUACCUGUCUGAAAUGAUCCCGGAACAAAAGGAUCCUGCCAGCACUCCGAAGAAGAACACGGUUAAGGUGAAAGGAGCUUUCCAGGCAUCAUCACACACCAGAUUCCACUAUGGAAAAUUGGAAAAGAUGAUUUUUCAAAGACAAACAUAGUUUGUCAGACACUGUACAAGACAAGUAUAGAACAAAACCCCUUAUCCUGGAUUAAAUUGUCAAAUAGGACAUCCAUCUCUUAUUUCUUCGUAUUUCCAUCUUGUU